AAGCCUGGGAGCCCAGUGCUCCCUCUGCCCUGGGUCGGCGAUCAGGAGAUUUGGUGUGGUUUUAUUUUUUGACAGGUUUCUUCUUCAGUGAAGGCUGCAUUUAUUGGGUUUUCCUGUGUGCAGGAUCGCCUGUUGAUCUUCAUUUUGAAGUAGGUGAAAGUGUUCAGACGACUGCAAAACUGACCAUCAGGUGCAUGGAGACAGGGGAGACAAAACAGGAACAUCCCGGGUGUUGUGGAGCUCAUCAUUUGGUAGGAAUCAAACUGUGACACGAGUAUGGUGAAGGGAAGUUUCGCUGAGGCCGUGACAGUGGCCACCAGUGACUCUCCUACGACCAGGGCCAUGAACUUCAGCAGAAUGGAGCCAAGAGGCCUGAAGCCUGGGACCAGACCAGUGUUUUAUAUACAGCAGGCUCUCUGGAUGCCUAGCUGUCCUGGGUAGUCAGUGGCCAGUGUGACACACCUGGGAAGAGGGAACCUCAACUGAUAA